ACUGAGCCACAACCCUAGCCCCGAAACUGCUAUUUGCUAGACCAAUGCAGUCAAAAUGGAUGAGAGGGCCUUACCAAAGGGAGACUUUUUCCCUCCUGAAUGUCCACAGCAACUUCCCCAUGGACUUGGUGGUAUUGGCAUGGGAUUAGGACCAGGAGGGCAGCCUGUUGAUGCCAAUCACCUGAACAAAGGCAUUGGAAUGGGAAACAUAGGGCUUGCAGGCAUGGAGGGACCCUUUGGUGGUGGUAUGGGAAACAUGGGGCGAUUUGGAUCUGGGAUGAACAUGGGCCAAAUAAAUGGUGGAGGUGGAGGCAGUGUCCCUGGGAUCAAAAGGAUAGGCCCUGGCAUUGACCGCAUUGAGGGUGCUGGCAUGGAGCGCAUGGGCACAGGCCUGGGUCAUGGAUGGAUCCAGUGGGCUCCGA
rnacentral:lncRNA from 1 species